rnacentral:rRNA from 1 species
AACGAACGCUGGCGGCAUGCCUAACACAUGCAAGUCGAACGAGACCUUCGGGUCUAGUGGCGCACGGGUGCGUAACGCGUGGGAACCUGCCCUUAGGUUCGGAAUAACCCCCCGAAAGGGGUGCUAAUACCGGAUAAGGUCUUCGGACCAAAGAUUUAUCGCCUUUGGAUGGGCCCGCGUUGGAUUAGCUAGUUGGUAGGGUAAAAGCCUACCAAGGCGACGAUCCAUAGCUGGUCUGAGAGGAUGAUCAGCCACACUGGGACUGAGACACGGCCCAGACUCCUACGGGAGGCAGCAGUGGGGAAUAUUGGACAAUGGGCGAAAGCCUGAUCCAGCAAUGCCGCGUGAGUGAUGAAGGCCUUAUGGUUGUAAAGCUCUUUUACCCGGGAUGAUAAUGACAGUACCGGGAGAAUAAGCUCCGGCUAACUCCGUG